UACGGAGGGGGCUAGCGUUGUUCGGAAUUACUGGGCGUAAAGCGCACGUAGGCGGAUUGGUCAGUUAGGGGUGAAAUCCCAGAGCUCAACUCUGGAACUGCCCUUAAUACUGCCAGUCUAGAGUCCGGAAGAGGUAAGUGGAACUCCUAGUGUAGAGGUGGAAUUCGUAGAUAUUAGGAAGAACACCAGUGGCGAAGGCGGCUUACUGGCCCGGUACUGACGCUGAGGCGCGAAAGCGUGGGGAGCAAACAGG
rnacentral:rRNA from 1 species